AAACCAACAGGGAUUGCCUUAGUAGCGGCGAGUGAAGCGGCAAGAGCUCAAAUUUGAAAUCUGGUACCUUCGGUGCCCGAGUUGUAAUUUGAAGAAAGCUAUCUUGGAUUUGGCCUUUGUCUAUGUUCCUUGGAACAGGACGUCACAGAGGGUGAGAAUCCCGUGCGAUGAGGUGUCCAUUUCUAUGUAAGAUGUUUUCGAAGAGUCGAGUUGUUUGGGAAUGCAGCUCUAAGUGGGUGGUAAAUUCCAUCUAAAGCUAAAUAUUGGCGAGAGACCGAUAGCGAACAAGUACAGUGAUGGAAAGAUGAAAAGAACUUUGAAAAGAGAGUGAAAAAGUACGUGAAAUUGUUGAAAGGGAAGGGUAUUAGAUCAGACUUGGUAUUUAGUUAUCAUUGCUCCUUGUGGGUGGUGCUCUAGCUUUUUACUGGGCCAGCAUCAGUUUUGGUGGCAGGAUAAUGACAUUUGAACGUGGCUCCUCGGAGUGUUAUAGCUUUUGUUGAUACUGCCAACCGGGACUGAGGUCUGCGGCUUUUGCCUAGGAUGCUGGCGUAAUGAUCCAAUACCGC
rnacentral:rRNA from 1 species